CUAGAGAACUGUCCCUUAGAUAAAGUCACUGAAGAACUGGAGUGGUGGAGAAUCAAAGUCAAGAAGCAGAAGGCAGCUUGUAACUGCAGGAGCAGAAGAGAGUUCCUAACAGUUUCCACCAGCUGUUCUUCAAAUCUGACACCACCUCCACUGACAUCAUUUGUCAUGCUUUGGCUGCAGAUUCCCUUUCACAUACUUGCAUCUCUCAAUUAAGAUACACAUCUUUUUUAUUUUCCUCUAAAUUUUGCCCUACAAUACAUAAAAAUGUGUUUAUUGGAGAUUAAAAAAGAAAUCACUGAAUAAAAGUGGCAGAUCAGACCGUAUCUGUGAUGUCUUCAGGUUUGUUUUUUUAAACUGAUUUUGCUCAUGCAGCUUAUAUGUGCAGCCAUUCUUAUUUCUGCUAGGAGGUGCAGCUGAUUACUUCAAACUGUACUUCAGUAUCUUGGCUCCACAAAAGUCAACAAUCAGUGGCAAAACUUAUUCAAGAACACCAAAAGCAUGUACCUGCAUAGAGAAUAG
ensembl:lncRNA